ensembl:lncRNA
GUCAGUAUAAAGGCAUGUGCAUAUUAUGUGGGUGUGAGCGAAUUAAUUAAUGUUUGUAUCUAUGUAGUAGGAUAGAUGGAGUGUUGCCAUCAGAGUCCAUCCAACUCUACUUUGACGCUUAAAAGUGGUGGCUCGUAUAUAGGCUACACAAAAACAUGUUUUUAUUUUUUACCCCUUUUCUCCCCAAUUUCAUGGUUCCCAAUUGGUAGUUACAGUCUUGUCCCCUCACUGCAACUCCCCAACGGACUCGGAAGAUGCGAAGGUCGAGAGCCGUGCGUCCUUCAAAACACGACCUUGCCAAGCCACACUGCUUCUUGACACACGGCUCGCUUUGUUACGCUCGUCGAAAUGAUCGGACCAAGGUGCAGCGUGCUCGGAGCUCGAGUUACAAGCCGGAGAGACGGUCCAGGGAGAUUUGGGGUCCUGCCGAUAACGAUCGGGGAAUGCAUCAGCAUUCCAGGAUGCAUUUCAAACCAUUCCUAUUGGCUGGAUAAAGCCUCUCUUUUUUUAAAAGGAAUUAUAGAAAAAUCCCUGUCUUAAUUUCUUCAUGAUUUCAAUCAGGGCCUCUGCGACAGAGAGGAAAGGAGAGAAGGAAAAAAAACACAAAACACAAAGACAUAAAAAGUUGCGCAUCAUUCCGCUUCCACAUUGGCUUGAGGGGAAAAACACCUCGGAGCAUGCAAGCAGAACGGAUGGGUUUAUUGGUUUUAACCAGGAGUCAAUCACACCGAGUAACGUGAGCCCAGACAAGGCGCGGAGGCUAGAUUGCGAGGACACUAAACGCUGGAAAAUGAGGGAGGGGAAACACCAUCUCCCUACUUACAAACGUCUGAUAAUCCAGCACAUGUGCUGCCUUCUAAAGGGAUACUUAGGCUUUUAAGCUUCUUUGUCAUUCCCAUCCGAGCUUACAGAGUUGGGCCAGGAACAUCAAGUCAUGUUCAAUUUAGUCUGCUGAUCCUGAACAAACCAUUGUGGGGAUGGGAGAACGGCAGUGCUGGGGACUAGUUGUCAGAUUAGACAAGUGGAACAAGACACACACUCAAAAAGAAUGAUGCAGCUUAACUAUUCAUUUGCAGUUUUAAUUCUGGGCAUAAAGAUUGGACUCUGUUCUGUAUGUGACCAAUGUUCUAGAAAGGAAAACUCACAAAGACCUUUAUUUCCUUUGUUUUGUAUUUAUUUAGUAUGGUCAGGGCGUGAGUUGGGUGGGCAGUCUAUGUUUGUUUUUCUAUGAUUUGGGGAUUUGUAUGUUUCGGCCUAGUAUGGUUCUCAAUCAGAGGCAGGUGUCAUUAGUUGUCUCUGAUUGAGAAUCAUACUUAGGUAGCCUGGGUUGCACUGUUUGUUUGUGGGUGAUUGUCUAUGUUAGUUGCUUGUGUCAGCACAGGUCUCAUUUAUAGCUUCACGGUCGUUAUUAGUUUAUUGUUUUUGUAUUCAGUACUUUCUUUAAUUAAAUAUCAAGAUGAA